rnacentral:rRNA from 1 species
UACAUGCAAGUCGAGCGAACAGAUAAGGAGCUUGCUCCUUUGACGUUAGCGGCGGACGGGUGAGUAACACGUGGAUAACCUACCUAUAAGACUGGGAUAACUUCGGGAAACCGGAGCUAAUACCGGAUAACAUAUUGAACCGCAUGGUUCAAUAGUGAAAGGCGGCUUUGCUGUCACUUAUAGAUGGAUCCGCGCCGUAUUAGCUAGUUGGUAAGGUAACGGCUUACCAAGGCAACGAUACGUAGCCGACCUGAGAGGGUGAUCGGCCACACUGGAACUGAGACACGGUCCAGACUCCUACGGGAGGCAGCAGUAGGGAAUCUUCCGCAAUGGGCGAAAGCCUGACGGAGCAACGCCGCGUGAGUGAUGAAGGUCUUCGGAUCGUAAAACUCUGUUAUCAGGGAAGAACAAAUGUGUAAGUAACUGUGCACAUCUUGACGGUACCUGAUCAGAAAGCCACGGCUAACUACGUGCCAGCAGCCGCGGUAAUACGUAGGUGGCAAGCGUUAUCCGGAAUUAUUGGGCGUAAAGCGCGCGUAGGCGGUUUUUUAAGUCUGAUGUGAAAGCCCACGGCUCAACCGUGGAGGGUCAUUGGAAACUGGAAAACUUGAGUGCAGAAGAGGAAAGUGGAAUUCCAUGUGUAGCGGUGAAAUGCGCAGAGAUAUGGAGGAACACCAGUGGCGAAGGCGACUUUCUGGUCUGUAACUGACGCUGAUGUGCGAAAGCGUGGGGAUCAAACAGGAUUAGAUACCCUGGUAGUCCACGCCGUAAACGAUGAGUGCUAAGUGUUAGGGGUUUCCGCCCCUUAGUGCUGCAGCUAACGCAUUAAGCACUCCGCCUGGGGAGUACGACCGCAAGGUU